rnacentral:rRNA from 1 species
UGAAGUGUGGACGCCAGUCUGCAUGGAGCCGACCUUGAAAUACCACCCUUUAAUGUUUGAUGUUCUAACGUGGACCCGUAAUCCGGGUUGCGGACAGUGUCUGGUGGGUAGUUUGACUGGGGCGGUCUCCUCCUAAAGAGUAACGGAGGAGCACGAAGGUUGGCUAAUCCUGGUCGGACAUCAGGAGGUUAGUGCAAUGGCAUAAGCCAGCUUGACUGCGAGCGUGACGGCGCGAGCAGGUGCGAAAGCAGGUCAUAGUGAUCCGGUGGUUCUGAAUGGAAGGGCCAUCGCUCAACGGAUAAAAGGUACUCCGGGGAUAACAGGCUGAUACCGCCCAAGAGUUCAUAUCGACGGCGGUGUUUGGCACCUCGAUGUCGGCUCAUCACAUCCUGGGGCUGAAGUAGGUCCCAAGGGUAUGGCUGUUCGCCAUUUAAAGUGGUACGCGAGCUGGGUUUAGAACGUCGUGAGACAGUUCGGUCCCUAUCUGCCGUGGGCGCUGGAGAACUGAGGGGGGCUGCUCCUAGUACGAGAGGACCGGAGUGGACGCAUCACUGGUGUUCGGGUUGUCAUGCCAAUGGCACUGCCCGGUAGCUAAAUGCGGAAGAGAUAAGUGCUGAAAGCAUCUAAGCACGAAACUUGCCCCGA